rnacentral:misc_RNA from 1 species
AAACAAGGGAUCUUUGAGGAAGGAUGAUGGUGAGAAUGCUUCCAAGUCAUCUUCCAGUGAGAAGGAUUUGCACAACUCAAGGCAUGGGGCAGAAAACUAUGGUACUGAGUGUCCUAGUGCAACAGAGUUAAUGGAACGUGUUGCAUCAAGUUUUAACAUUCAAGAUGUUUCAAUUGCCAAGGCUCAAUCUUCUGUGGACUCCGAGUGUGUUAAAUCACAAUCUGGAAGUGAUCCUUCACUGCCUGCUGGGAUCCAUAUUGCAAAAGCAAGGAAAUUAACUGUGGACCGGUCAGACCCUAGAAACCGUGUACUCCUGCAGAGAAGACAGUUCUAUCACUCUCAUAGAGUUCAGCCUAUGGCACUAGAACAAGUAAUGACGGAUCGAGACAGUGAAGAUGAAGUUGAUGACGACAUUGCAGAUUUUGAAGAUAGAAGGAUGCUUGAUGACUUCGUGGAUGUUAGCAAAGAUGAGAAGCAACUUAUGCAUCUUUGGAACUCAUUUGUGAGAAAGCAAAGGGUGUUGGCAGAUGGUCAUGUAGCAUGGGCAUGCGAGGCAUUUUCAAAGCUUCAUGGACGGGAACUGGUUGGAUCUCCUGCUCUUUUUUGGUGCUGGAGGUUAUUCAUGAUCAAGCUUUGGAACCAUGGUCUUCUUGAUGCAAGCACAAUGAACAACUGUAACAUGAUCCUCGAAAGAUGCAGAGAUGAAGGAUCUGAUGCUAUAAAAACUGAAAGAGGAGAUGAUUAAUGACAGUCUUGAGGACUACACUGAUGACAUAUGAGAUUGAUUUCCUGCUGCCUUAACCCAUUCUUUACUUAACUCAACUGCAACCCCAACCCCAACCCCAACCUCACUCCUAAUCAUUGAGCCAUAAUUGGAAUAUUAACAUUCUUUCCUGUACAAUGGAUUGUCAUUGGGGCUCCUUUGUAAUUUAUGGGGAUAGAACCUUACAGUAAUCUCAUUCAAUCCAAGCCCGCCCCUCUUUUUUUUUUUUUUGGUAAUUUUAUUGAGUUUAAGAAGUUCAUAAUUGUGC